CAGUUGGAUGAAAAAGAAAUCGUCGCCAACAUCCUCAAUGGAUUGGAUGGUGACCUCAAUCCAGUGAUGUCUGCCCUUGUCACAAGGGCCGAACUAACCUUAGUUGGGGAGGUAUAUGCUCAACUCCUCAGUUUUGAGA